UGUGGUAUAAUUGAAUAUGUCACCCAAAGGACUUUGCCCUGCCUUGUUAUAGACAAAAACACUAAUAAAAUAAGUGAAGCCACACUCAGAUAAGAAGUUGCACUGAGUGAGAGAUGUGUUGCAGUGUACUUCCAAGCCAUCAUCACUCUUCACAAAGACCACAUAGUUUCUCUGUCAAAACUAGAAGACCCAUGGCCCUCCCGAUGAUGACUUCUACUUCUUGACCUUCUUGGGGACCUC
rnacentral:lncRNA from 1 species